rnacentral:rRNA from 1 species
GAUGAACGCUAGCGGCAGGCUUAACACAUGCAAGUCGAGGGGUAUAGGUUUUCGGACCUGGAGACCGGCGCACGGGUGCGUAACGCGUAUGCAAUCUACCUUUCACAGAGGGAUAGCCCAGAGAGAUUUGGAUUAAUACCUCAUAGUAUAGCAGUUUCGCAUGAAACCACUAUUAAAGUAUCAACGGUGAAAGAUGAGUAUGCGUCCCAUUAGCUAGAUGGUAAGGUAACGGCUUACCAUGGCUACGUUGGGUAGGGGUCCUGAGAGGGAAAUCCCCCACACUGGUACUGAGACACGGACCAGACUCAUACGGGAGGCAGCAGUGAGGAAUAUUGGUCAAUGGACGCAAGUCUGAACCAGCCAUGCCGCGUGCAGGAUGACGGUCCUAUGGAUUGUAAACUGCUUUUGUACGAGAAGAAACAACAUUACGUGUAAUGUCUUGACGGUAUCGUAAGAAUAAGGAUCGGCUAACUCCGUGCCAGCCGCCGCCGUAAUAC